GUACUCCACGACCGAGAAGCGUCAGAAAAAGAAUUUCUUGGUGGGGUGCCUGGUGAUCGGAGAUAUCCUUGCGAUUUAUGGCUUGAAGCUUGAGGGAAAGCAGAAGGAACCAUUCUACCUACCAAUCAAGUAUUAUUUUGUUUAAGAUUUUCAGUUUCCGGGUUGGAUUUUUAAUUUUGUUUGGUUGCAAGGGUGAAGGAUUACCUGUCCGAUCAUGAAAAUCAGACGAGUAAUCAUGGGGAUAGGGGGCGAACUAACCUGUUGCGGUCGACGAUUCGGCACCAGCACGAUCGGCCACGACCGUGAUUUCAGAUGCUGGGAUUUCAUAACUUCUUCUGAUGCUGGGAUUUCAGAUGCUCCCGAGUUUCCACGGCAAGCCUCAAGAAAUCCCGUCCACCCAACAAUCCUAGAAAAGAGGAUAAUCGAAACCCUAACAGAGCAAGAACAAGGAGAUGGCUACGGAGAAGAUGGUACUGACGGUCAUCAGGGCUUCCCGCCCAUCCUUCCGUAGCCCCCACGACAAGGUCGCCUUCGCCGCCCAUGCCUCCUUCCUCGCAGCCGGCUUCUUCCUCAACGCCACCGGCAAGAACGCCCUAUCUGAUAAUCCUCCAAUCGGUGGGGAAGAGGUGGGGAUCGAGGGGUGGGACGAGCUGGUGGGCAGCUAUGAUUUCCUGGACCUCACGAUCGAGAUGGGUCAGAAAAGGAAUUUUUUGGUGAGGUGCACGGUGAUCGGAGAGUUUCUUAUGAUUGAUUGCUUGAACCUUGAGCGACAGAAGAAGAACCAUUAUACUUACCAAUCAGGGUGAAGAAUUACCUGUCCGAUGAUGAAAAUCAGACGGAUAAUUAUGGAGACUUGUACAAAGAUUUGAAGGGCCUUGUCAAGAAUUUGAAUUCUAGUAUGUUGGCUAAAUUGGAACCCAACGUUCGAGCAGUGUUGGGAGCAGUCUGAGUCAUGAUACGGGUUCGGGAGCAAAAUGCCUCGAGUCAGGACGCGAGUCAGGUCGCAGCCUAUUGACUACUAUGGAACAUAACAUUGAAAAUGGCCGUUGUUUCUAUUGUUGUUAGUUGCCUAUUAACUAUAUCGUAAUCAGAUAACAUUGUAUCACAUUGUCUGAAUCCAUGCUUGAAAUAUUUUGUUGAUAUUAGCCUUUUUGGUAGUGUCUGUCUUCUCUAUUAAUGUUUGCAAAUCAAAAUACAUGCUAGUUCUGCUUUCUUCACCUGGUCUUUUGAUUAGCUGGCCAUCACUAGAGGCUACUGCGGCAUUUAUGGUGCAGAAUAAUGUAUUUGCUCAAAAUAUGGCAGGGUUUUGUUCAGCAUUAUGUUACUGAAUAUGUAAAAUAGCUUCAGGCACUUAUGGUCGCUUAUCUGUUCCAUUGAGCCCAUUUAUGCGUCACACUCGAGUCUUCCUAGGCGACACAAGAUGCACUCUUUGUUUAGUUUAAUAAUAGUUUGGUGGUCUACUAACUACAGAAAAACAGAAAUCUCUUGUCAAACUGAUUUUCCAAGGUGAUUUUCCUCAGACAUAUGGACAAAGAAAAGCUUUAGUCAUUAGUUUGACCUUGAACGUAUGAUUUCCACUUCAAGCCAGUUAUUCGUACUAGUAUUUUCGAGGUCUGAAGUACUCUCCAUCUCCCUCGAGCCAUGCCGUCUGAACUGAAGGGUUUGAAAUCAUGCUUGCCGUCAAGGAAUUCCAAGCAGUUAAAACUUCAACAUUACAUGAUAAGCAAAUAGAUAAAUAAAAAUAGGUUUUUAAAACAAUGGAACAAUGUACAGAAGGACUAUAAAUAUGCAACUACUGUGAAACAACAGAUCAAAUCACAAAUUUCCAUCGUCGUCAACAUGGCAAGAUACUUCUUGCUUCUAAUUCUUCGCGCAUGGACUGGUGGAGAGCUUCAGAACAAGAAGGGAAUCGGAGCAAAUGCAGGCACGACUGUGGGAACUCCAUAGUGCCUGAUAAAUCAAAAAAUUUAUUUGAUUUUUUGUUUAUUCACUUGAUAGAGAAGUUUUAUACCGAUCCCACGAACGUCAGAGGAUCAUGCCAAACAUAACUUCAAUAAGUGAAUUAAAGAAGAUGAUUGGCCUGCCAACUUAUACAGCAUAGAUUUCAGCAUCUGGAAGUGCCACUAUCGCUCCGCUUUGAGUAUAGACUCCAACAUGGACUCUGAAUCAGCCGCCAUUAUUAACAUUUCCAAGCCAUCUACUGCUAAAAUAGGAGUGGGGAAUCACAGCCCAACGGCUUGAGCCCAAAAUGUGGCACCUUUCUUAUUAAUCAAUGUGGGACUAUAACUAAUCUGAUCUUUCGCCCAAUCUUAGUGACGCCCUAUUAUUAACUCCUACUUGAGAAAUGAAGACGACUCCACCCUGCCGGAUCCUCUUCGAUCCGGAGCCAGAAGACCCACUCGGCGGCAUCGCCCGCUCCUUGCGAGGGAGAAUCCUCCCCGUUGAUUUGGCACUCCUCGUCCACGACCCACAGCCUCGAUUCCCACCCUUCGCGGCCACCGGCGCCGUCGCAGCCUGGGUGCCGUCCUCGGAGAUCGCGACGAGCAACGGCCGCCGGCCGCCAUGAUGGCGAAGCCGUCCCGUCGGAGGGUCUCCGCCGGCGCUUAUCAGGGUAGGCGCAGGUCGUCGGGGAGAGCGGCGGUGCCUCCGCCUUCUCCUCCGUCCGCCGCGUUCUCGGCGGAGAGUCCUCCGGUAACGCGGCUGGACGGCCGCAGGGAACGAACUCCAGAAACCUCAUCUGUCCCCUUCCGCUGUCUUCCUCGCAGGGGCAGUACUUUACUGCAUAUUUAGAGCUCUGCCAUUGGUGGCGGACGGAGGAUAUGAUCGCAGAGUAGAAACAAGAUGGAUCCUUCAUCGCUGGGGCUCAGGGACGAUGAGACCCAGGUCGUGAAUUGCCAGAGGAGUCAGGGGGCACUGCCAGGGACCCGUCAUCGAGAGAUGGGUUCUUGGGCUUCAUACGCGGACUCGGUCCUCGGAUUGUGACGGUGACCGAUGAGGACUCGGACUUGGACUCCCCGAGCCUCACCUCGAGGAUCAUGGCAUGCUUCAAGUCUUCAACUAUCUAUGGAUACCAUUUGAUGCCCUCGAGACCUUCUUGCCAAGGACUGUCCCCAGAAGACGGAGUACGAGGCCGAUGUCGGGCAGAAGAUCGAGAAUAUCAUAGGGUUUGAGGGGGGGCAAAGGAUAGAGAGGUCGGAGUCCGGUGUUCGGUUCAUGCAACGAAUGAAGAGAGCAAGAAUUCAAAGCAUUCCGUUUGAUGAGGAGACGGUGAAGGAGGCGAAGCUUCUUUUGGAUGAGCAUGCAAGUGGUUGGGGUAUGAAGAAAGAAGAAGACAUGUUGGUGCUCACAUGGAAAGGCCAUAGCUCACUUUUCACCACAGCUUGGGUCCCAGAUGGAUUUGAUGAAUAAAAGGCUUGUCUCUUUGGAUGGGAGAGAGAGAGAUCUCGGCAUCUCUUUGCGGUCCAAUGCAAGAGCCGUGACAAAAUGGUGUAGGCUUUGCCUACGGAGGUGGGUGGGUGUGAUAUUUGCCUAGGGUGGUGGGGGGCCACAGAGGGAGAUGGAGAGAGAGAGAGAGAGAGUAAAACGGCCGGGUUUGUUUGUUAUUUGUAAAAAGGCCAGCUUUGCAGCAGAGAGAGCAUCUUAGCUUGGCAAAACCCGUAUGAUCGGUGGCAAUAUUGGAGGAAUGUAUCUAUUGUCUUCAUCCAUGGUGAGGCUGUGCCUCGGUUUAAGUCACUUAUUGUUGACA